rnacentral:rRNA from 1 species
AGUAGCGGUGAAAUGCGUAGAUAUCUGGAGGAAUACCAAAGGCGAAGGCAGUCCCCUGGUCCGAUACUGACACUGAGGUACGAAAGCGUGGGGAGCAAACAGGAUUAGAUACCCUGGUAGUCCACGCCCUAAACGAUGUCGAUUAGCCAUUGGAAGGACCCCUUUUCCUUUCAGUGACGUAGCUAACGCGUUAAAUCGACCGCCUGGGAAGUACGACCGCAAGGUUAAAACUCAAAGGAAUUGACGGGGACCUGAACAAGCGGUGAAUGGUGUGGAUUAAUUCGAUGCUACGCGAAGAACCUUACCUACCUUUGACAUGGCCAAAGUUCUACCGAGAGGCGGAAGUACUCGUAAGAGGAUUGGCGCACAGGUGCUGCAUGGUUGUCGUCAGUUCGUGUCGUGAGAUGUUGGGUUCAGUCCCGCAACGAACGCAACCCUUAUCUUUAAUUGCUCCUAUUUUAACAGGCACUUUAAAGAAACUGCCAAUGAUAAGUUGGAGGAAGGUGGGGAUCACGUCAAGUCCGCAUGGCCUUUAUAGGUAGGGCUUCACACGUCAUACAAUGGUUAGAACAAAGAGCUGCAAAUUCGUAAGAAGGAGCCAAUCUCACAAACCUAACCUCAGUUCGAAUUGCGGUCUGCAACUCGAGCGCAUGAAGCCGGGAUCGCUAGUAAUCGUGGAUCAGAAUGCCA